GAUGAACGCUGGCGGCGUGCCUAAUACAUGCAAGUCGAGCGAACAGACGAAGAGCUUGCUCCUCUGACGUUAGCGGCGGACGGGUGAGUAACACGUGGAUAACCUACCUAUAAGACUGGGAUAACUUCGUGAAACCGGAGCUAAUACCGGAUAAUAUAUUGAACCGCAUGGUUCAAUAGUGAAAGACGGUUUUGCUGUCACUUAUAGCUGGAUCCGCGCCGCAUUAGCUAGUUGGUAAGGUAACGGCUUACCAAGGCAACGAUGCGUAGCCGACCUGAGAGGGUGAUCGGCCACACUGGAACUGAGACACGGUCCAGACUCCUACGGGAGGCAGCAGUAGGGAAUCUUCCGCAAUGGGCGAAAGCCUGACGGAGCAACGCCGCGUGAGUGAUGAAGGUCUUCGGAUCGUAAAACUCUGUUAUUAGGGAAGAACAAAUGUGUAAGUAACUAUGCACGUAUUGACGGUACCUAAUCAGAAAGCAACGGCUAACUACGUG
rnacentral:rRNA from 1 species